GCAAACUUGGUCAUUUAGAGGAAGUAAAAGUCGUAACAAGGUAACCGUAGGUGAACCUGCGGUUGGAUCAUUAACAAAAAAAAAUCCUUUGCGUUUGUCCCCUUAGAAAUAAGGGGGUUUCAAACGUAAACCCACAAUUGUGCACAGUUUCACGUCGUUUCAGCGGUACAGAAGCAGCAUUUUUUGCUUCUUAAGCUUGGGUGGACGAAAAAGAGACAAACCCAACGUUUAUUUUAUUUUACGUUGUUUUGUUGUUUUUUGGCCCGCCGCCGCCGCUGGACAGAUCAACCUUUGAAUCCAUUUUUUUCUUGUCUUAACAAUUUAAAUUUGAUUUUAAAUUUUUAAACAACUUUUGACAACGGAUCUCUUGGCUCUCGCAUCGAUGAAGAACGCAGC
rnacentral:misc_RNA from 1 species